rnacentral:rRNA from 1 species
ACGGAGGAUCCGAGCGUUAUCCGGAUUUACUGGGUUUAAAGGGUGCGUAGGCGGGCCCCUAAGUCAGCGGUGAAAGUCUGCGGCUCAACCGUAGGAUUGCCGUUGAUACUGGGGGCCUUGGAUUCGGUCGAGGCGGGCGGAAUGCGACAUGUAGCGGUGAAAUGCUUAGAUAUGUCGCAGAACGCCGAUUGCGAAGGCAGCUCGCCGGGCCGUUAUCGACGCUGAGGCACGAAAGCGUGGGGAUCGAACAGGAUUAGAUACCCUGGUAGUCCACGCCGUAAACGAUGAUGGCUGGAUGUUGGCGAUACACCGUCAGCGUCUGAGGGAAACCAUUAAGCCAUCCACCUGGGGAGUACGGCCGCAAGGCUG